CGGCUCACCAAGGCGACGAUCCCUAGCUGGUCUGAGAGGAUGACCAGCCACACUGGAACUGAGACACGGUCCAGACUCCUACGGGAGGCAGCAGUGGGGAAUAUUGCACAAUGGGCGCAAGCCUGAUCUAACAGCACC
rnacentral:rRNA from 1 species